CGGUCCCAAAACGAAGAAAAGCUCACAUUACCAAAACAAGCCCACUCCAACAGAUCAGCCCAAUACUACAACAUGCAUACCGAAUUCUUCCGAGCAAAGCACUACCAGGUGCUUCAUUAUCAUCGGUCGGAGAUACUCAGAUGCAAGAGGAGGAGACUCCGGAGAAUGGAAACGGCAGUAGCGGUGGGUCCCAGACCCACUUGUGGUGGGCGGUGCCACGCGGCUCAGCUCGGUUGGGCCGUAAUGUCGUCCCGAAAAGCCUGCGCCGGCAACUCCUUUACGAUGCCAUUCAAGGCCUUCGCAGUUGCUUCCCUCUACAUCGGCUCCAUCGCCACCGCGGGCGUCGCUGGCAUCCGCAAGGUUCAAGUUAGCAGAGCUUUGGUGGCCACGAGGAAUCCAACGGUGUUCUGACAGAAUUCACAAAAGCGGGGGAUCUCGUAGAGCUUGGUGCAAACCUAAGAACUGGACUUGGGGUACCUCGGAGGACGACGAGGGAUGAAUGAGCUUUUAUUUUUUGGUUGAAAUAGUUUUAGGUUUCGAAAUGCAGUUUUUGUCAUAUAUAAAACCCACACCUGGGUUGGAUUUUCAUCUUUGUUCAUUUUAUUUUAAUUGAAUACUCAUUGAGAAGUAUUUAUCAUCUCUUGAGUCAUCACUUUCA